ensembl:lncRNA
GGAGGAAAUUCAGAAGAUAGAAAAUGCUCUGGUGUCUUGUAGACAGCUUAUAAGCUCAGUGAGUACAGAGAAAUGCCGCAGGUCAUCGAACAGCUGCUGAAGGUGGAUGGGAGGAGCUCCCGGCCUCCUCUGGGACAAAGUGCAUGAAGUCCAUGCUGGAAUGGCUCGGGAGACGCUGACAGUCCACCCCCAGCACAGAGGGAGCGAGAGAUGUGCUGAGCAAAGACGGGCUGCAGUCGAUCACCUCUCGCGAGAAAGCAAGCUGGAAGGACGGAGUCACCUGUCUGAACACGGAAGCCUUUGAGCGCAAGGCUGAGCUCUGUAAAACCAGGAAGGUCAGAAGAGUGAACAGACUGACCCUAAACCCAGAUCCCAGAACCUGGGGAAACUUACUUAGUUUGGAAAAGACACACUUAGUACUUUCCAAAGAAGCCAUUAAUUUUUCACAGGAAGUAAUUUCAUGGGGCCCCUGAUCAUAUAGUUAACACCAGGGAGGUUUGGAAGGCUUUAGACGUGACUAGUGGCUGAGACACAAAGUCCCGUGGAGGGAAGCAGGGCUUCACCCCCCUGGGGUCAGCCUGAGGAGCCCACGUGCCAUCACCGUGGGGACAGAGUCCUGGGCGGUGGACCUUGGGCUUCUGCGAUGACGACCUCGUGGGGAGAGGCUGCCCGGAAACGGCGAGCGCUGAAGAUGGGCAGCAGAGCUUUGGACAGUGACCGGCGCACCCUGCAGAGAAAACCAUCCCUGCUGUGGAAUCAAUAAUCUCUGCAGACCAGACUCUUGCUUGUUGAUUAGAUGGGAAGUAUCCGCCUGCAGUGCAGGAGACACAGCGUUCCUCGGAUUCCUCAGGACUGAAGGGCUGAAGACCCAGGAGCUGCUCCAAAAGGUUAUCAGCGCUCAGGAGUGUCUUAAGGAUGGAUUGAAACGGACUGCCCUUGGGUCCUGCCACCCGGAUGUGAACCCUGGGUCCACCCCCGGCUGAGACCUCGGCAGAGGGACUCAUGGCUUUGGGGGGCAACAGGGGGAAUGGGACGGGGCUUGUGGAGAUCGGCGAGGGGCUAUUCCGUGCUGGACACAGACAGCAGGUCGCGGGGCCCAUCACAACCCUGGCAACGGUGGGCCAGGUGGUUGUGCUGGCCUGGUGGGCACCAUGACCCAGCAGUCCCUGCGGAGGGGCCCUGGGGGUCCUGAGUAGACAGAGGCGGCCUGGGUCCCAGUAGCAUCACGGGCUCUGGGGCACUGGGGCCAGCCUGGGCCUGGAGCAGAUUUAGCCUGGGUUUAUCAGCCUGAUUUAGUCUGGGACACCUCAGCCUGAUCUCAGCAAGGUGGCUGUGACCAGUGGUGAAGCCAGAUCUUCACUCCCUGCCUGGGUAUUGGACCUGGGAAGCCUGGAAGGGAGCCAAGAAUCCUGGCCACCAGACCAGCAAAGGAUGCAGGCUAGAAGCCGUUUCUCCCUGGAUCUUUGUCCCCGUGAAAAACGCGUUUAUCGUGGAGGAAGAAACUGUAAAUGUAGGCUCAAAGUUCAUUAUUGGAGACACAGCACAAGAGCAAGUGGUGCCGCACACGCAGCGGCAGUGCGCUCGGCCGAGACGGAUGCAGGGCAGACGCGCCAGAGAGCGAGCGCGCGGGCGCCCCCAGGGAGGAGGGUGCAGAGGAGAGGCGGCCAAGGCACUCAGGUUGGUCAGGUCUUCCAGGGCUUUGUCUCCCUUCAGCCAAUUACCGGUUUCUUUUUCCACACCGGACCUACCUGGGGACCCCCCUGGGUGAGCACACCCGCCUCAGCCAAGAUGGAUCUCGGAGUGAAGGCUUCUGGGAAGAGCAAGACCCAUUACGGCCUGGCACUAGCCCUUGACUUUUGACCCACAAGGAGCCUUUCUGCACGUAUGUAGUGUCUCUUUUGUCCCAACAAGGGUGGAGCGGCGAUCCCUUGAGCCUUCACUCACACAGGGCUUUCCCUUCUUUGCCGUCGCCGUGACCACUGCCGUGACCCCUUGAGCCUUCACUCACACAGGGCUUUCCCUUCUUUGCCGUUGCCGUGACCACUGCUGUGACCCCUUGAGCCUUCACUCACACGGGGUUUCGCCCUUCUUUGCCGUCGCCGUGACCACUGCCGUGACCGCCACCGUAACGUGCUCACAGAAGACACACGCUGGCGUUUGCCCUGUUGCUGUUGUGACUUCCGCCUCGGAGGGCGAGCAGGAGGCUGACUGUAAAUGCUUCAGCUGGAGCCCACCUAUCUCUUGUCUCAGAAAACGCUGGUAGCUCUAAGUAUCCAGCCUGAAGCCCACUUGGUGCCCCGACAAAUGCAAACGGGAAUCCAAUCUGGAGCCCAUCUACUCCCUAAGUCAAGCCUAGUGAUGGUGCCUGGGGUGAUGGAAUAGGGCGGAGGGCAAGGGGGACAGGCAGGAGCCACUGUUACCUUCAACCUGACCCGAGACGUGUGUCCGGCCCCCAACCCUGGAGGCAGGUUCCAGGUCUCAAAGACCAGUGGCCAGCACCCCGUGCCGACCUCAGGCCAGACACCGCAGACACGGCCCCAGCUCCCAGGACAGCCUCUCCACUGCACACCUCCACCUUCUUCACGCCUCAUGACGGCUCUUCUUAUACUUGGGGAAUCUCGAAAAAGUUGUUCAAACCUUCUACCAACGGAAUCAACGUAUUCCCAGUCACCCCCAGACAACAGAGUGAACAGUUCACCAGAUGGUGGAUGAACUGGGACGUUCACAUUGGUAAACGCACGGUCAAAUGGGUAGGGAUGAGGGCAGGAUGGAAUUUUGUAUCCAAAAAAGGAUGUUUCAUCCCUGUUCGGAGAAGGCAAUGGCACCCCACUCCAGUACUCUUGCCUGGAAAAUCCCAUUGAUGGAGGAGCCUCGUGGGCUGCAGUCCGUGGGGUCGCAAAGAGUCGGACACCACUGAGCGACUUCACUUUGACUUUUCACUUUCAUGCAUUGGAGAAGGAAAUGGCAACACACUCCAGUGCUCUUGCCUGGAGAAUCCCAGGGAUGGUGGAGCCUGGUGGGCUGCCAUUUAUGGGGUCGCACAGAGUCGGAAAUGACUGAAGUGACUUAGCAGCAGCAGCAGCAGCAAGAUCCCUGUUAUGAAAAGUCAUUUAUUUUCUUUUAAAAGUGUUUUAAAAUUAAUUUAAAAUAUGUUUAAAAUCAAAGAAGCAACAUCCUGGUUGAACAUCAUAUUUAAAAAACGCGAUAUGAUUCAAACACUGUAAAUAUAGAGAAAGAAGAUCAAAGAACACAGGCAAAAACAAUGCUGGAAAACAGGGUGGGUGGAGGAUUUUUGCUUCCCAAGCUGGGCUGAGAAGGAAAGUUAGGACUCAGUCCUGGUGCUGCGUAUAGUAAAGCCAUGUCAGGUGUCAGCCUGUGAAGACCGAGGCCAAGGUUUCAAACGUUCGAGAAGAAGCAUAACAUACUCACAAAACAAGAUAACAGAAAGGACAGCGUCUCAAAAGACUUCUUGACUUCUAAAGUAAUUUAUCCGUCUACUUACAAGGGCUGGAUGACAAGUUCCUGAAAUAUGUGCGUCUUCAAAGCCUAAUUGGAAUUUCUCUCUGUUGAUCUGAUGUCAGAACAGCAAAUCAUUAUGUCUUGAAAAAGAAAAGUGAAUAUUAAUUGAAAAGUUCAUUGGAAUUUGAAAGACUGUUCACUAGUUUUAGUCAAUCAAUCACUAACAAUAUAAUGAUGGAGUUGUGUACCGAAAGCUCGGUAAUCACAAAGCUUUCCUUGGAGGUGGCUUGAAUGCGUUUUUCCGACCGUGUCGAGUGUGACAUGAAAGACAGAAAAUGAGAGAAUUUUAAAUCUGGCCCAGGUCAAGGGGAAGGUAGAGCAACCUCGUCACAUGGCGAUGAAGGGAAGUUGAGUAGCCAGGCGUGGAAACCGUCUCCCACAGGACUCAGCCUCAGAUAAGGGAAAAUGAGGCAGCGGCAUAUGGCCACAGAACUCACCGUCUCCUCGCAACAUCCAUCACCCUGAAGCACUGGGCCAACAUAAACUCUGGACUUCAUUAAUCGCUUCAUUAAUUGUGCCCUGCCCUAAUGCAGGCAGAUAGGGCUUCUUUGAUGAUGCAGUGGAUAAGAAUCCACCUGCCAAUGCAGGGGACGUGGCUUUGAUCCACAGUCUGGGAAGAUGCCACACGCCUUGGAAGGACCACAGCCUUGUGUGACAAGCGCUGCGGCAGCCCUGCUCUGGAGCCCGCCUGCCGCGACUCCCGAGCCCGUGUGCCGUAGCCACUGAGGUCUUUGCCCCGGAGCCUAUGCUCCGCAGCCCUGCUCUGGAGCCCGCCUGCCGCGACUCCCGAGCCCGUGUGCCGUAGCCACUGAGGUCUUUGCCCCGGAGCCUAUGCUCCGCAGCCCUGCUCUGGAGCCCACCUGCCGCGACUCCCGAGCCCGUGUGCCGUAGCCACUGAGGUCUUUGCCCCGGAGCCUGUGCUCCGCGGCAAGGGAAGGCCCUGCAGUGAGGAGCGGCCCCAUCCACCGCAAUGAGAGAGGAGCCCACACAGAGCAACAGGGAUCCAGCACAGCCCCAAAUGACCAAAUUAAAAAGGAACUCACAGCCUCGUGGGAAUGUCAAAGGGCCCAGGAGUCGCCUGAGAGGGCUCCCGGGACCAAGGCUGAAACAGUCCGAGCAAGAAGAUGGGUGGUGCGUGAUCGGAUGCUGAGCACCCACAAGCGCAUACCGACGUAAGUGCAUCGUUGAAUGAACAAACAAGUGGGGGAGAAUAAACUAAUCUCCACGCAGAAGAAACUUAAAGAAUCUGCGUGAAUAUUUCAUGCUGAGGGGAGGGGACCACAGCGCCCUCCUCCCUGCGGCCGGGCUACACGGUGACGGCCUCCCAAAGAGCAAGAAAGAGAGAAGCAACCAACGCCGCCGAGGGCGGCCGACCGAAGUCCACAGCAGCAGGGGGACGCCCCGAUGAACUGCAGCCUUCACAGGCUGCAGUUAGGACUGUGCCUGGCCUCUGUGGACUCAGCGCAUUUAUGUUUAAGCCAUUUGUGACCAAUUUUGGUUUCAACAUACCUUCUUAAAACGUUUCCUCAUUCCUCCUGUUCUGUGUUCACUUUUCUUUCUUAUUUUUAACGGAUGAUUUUAUUUUUUUUUCUGUUCUAUAUUCUACUGUGCUGCUGCUAAGUCACUUCAGUCGUGUCCGACUCUGUGUGACCCCAUAGACGGCAGCCCACCAGGCUCCCCCGUCCCUGGGAUUCUCCAGGCAAGAACACUGGAGUGGGUUGCCAUUUCCUUCUCCAAUGCAUGAAAGUGAAAAGUGAAAGGGAAGUCGCUCAGUUGUGUCCGACUCUUAGCGACCCUAUGGACUACAGCCUACCAGGCUCCUCCAUCCAUGGGAUUUUCCAGGCAAGAAUACUGGAGUGGGGUGCCAUUGCCUUCUCCGAUAUUCUACUGUAUCACCUGUCUAGAGCGAGGGAAAGAGCUUGAGUUAUUUUAAGGGACUGGCUCGCAUGAGUGUGGGGCUGGCAAGUCCACAGUCUGCAGGGUGGGCUGCAGGCUGGGAAACCAGAGAAGAGUUGGUGUUGCAGCUGGAGUCUGAAGGCUGCCUGCUGGCAGACUCCCACCUCCAGGAGGGUCAGACUUUUGGUCUACUCAGGCCUUCAACUGAUCAGAUGCGGCCCAUCCAUACCAUUUACUCAGAGGCCACUAUUUCCAUGUAAAUCUCAUCCCCCAAACCCUCUCUCAGAAACACCUAGAACAGUGUUUGACCACACAUCUGGGCACCACGGCCCAGUCAAGGUGACACGAAACCCACCC